CGCGUAGGUGGUUUGUUAUGUCAGAUGUGAAAGUCCACGGCUCAACCGUGGAAGUGCAUUUGAAACUGGCAGACUUGAGUACUGGAGGGGGUAGUGGAAUUCCCGGUGUAGAGGUGAAAUUCGUAGAUAUCGGGAGGAAUACCGGUGGCGAAGGCGACUACCUGGCCAGAUACUGACACUGAGGUGCGAAAGCGUGGGGAGCAAACA
rnacentral:rRNA from 1 species